CCCCAAGUGUCUGUGGCAUGGCAUCAUCGGGAGGGACGGCUCUGAGGCUGGUGGAGGGACAGGACAUCUCCGUUGUUUGGGGAAGUCUGUCCUCCAGUCCCGAGGGUGCAAGUGGAUUGGUUUAAGUGUGAAUGUAACUGGCAGCCAGGGCAGCAGGAACUCUUUCGCUGAAAUUUCCAGGCCUCCUUGGGUUCCCUGAACCCUGGGCUGGCGUUCCCAGGACCCAGCACCAGGAGACCCCCAGUCCCACCCAGGAGGGCUGGGCGAAGCCAGUGCCGGCCCCCCUCCUCCCUACAGCCUCGCAUCACUGCCAAAGCCCCCGUUCCUUUUGCCCAAAUAAUGCAGGCUGAAGCUGCAGUGCCAGCUGGAGGGACAUCUGGGGCUCCCCGUGCCAUCCCUGUUUCCAGACAGCUGGACAGCUUCCCCUUUACCCCCACCCCAGCGAGCCCCUGCGGGCCAGAGAAAGAUGGGGUUCCCGCACUUUCCAGGCUCCACCCCUGAACUUGCGUUAGCGUUAGCUAAGCAUACAAUCAGUGUUGAACCUCUCUCUUCCUUAGCUUGUAGAUACGACUGUGUACAGGGGACCCACUGGAGGCCAGGCGGCCGAUGCUGCCCGAGCACCCGGGCGUGGUUUGGUUCCUUUAGGCAAUUUUUGUUCUGCCAACAGGGGAACCCGUGCUGCCGGGUGUAGCGGCCGGAGCGCCUGGCCUCGGUGGUUAGGCAGCCCCAGCCCGGGGCCCCAGUGCUCCUCAGGGCCUGAGCAGCCCCUACUUCUGGCCCAGCAGGUUUCUCUUUCUAGUCUUUCAGCGCAUCCAAAAUAGAGGCCUCCCACCACCACCAAGUCAGAGCAACAGCCAGCAACAAUCUGGCGCUCAGAGAUGCCUCAGUUUCCCUAGCAUGAGCACCAGCCGACACAUGGUCCACUGAGAUUAUGAUUCUGUUCUCUCCAAAGCAAAAAGCCGGGUGAGGGGAAGUCUCAAUUUCUGCCAGUGCUCAAAGGAAUAACACCAAAAGAAUCAACACACCAUCUCCCGGACACGGAGCAGCACGUGACCCAGCUCCAGGCGCCGUGGGUCAGUGGGAGGGACAGCGCCACGCCACAGACCCAGCGGGGGACCGCCUCUCUGUACAAUUGGAACGACGUGUUUUACUUUUCUCUCCUUUCUUCAUUCUGCUUUUUUUUUUUUUUUUGCAUGUUUCUUUUUGAAAAUGGAGAAAAUGUGUAGCAGCCCGCAUGACCACGGUUGUUUUGGGGAAAGAUACUGGGGUAUGACGUGUCACACCUGCAGCUCUGAGCAUCGAGAGGUUAGACAAACGUUCCACCUUUUUUUGUAAUUGUCAACAGCACAACUAUUUUGUAUUGUUGUUUGUAUCAUUUUGUACCAAAAAGAAAAAAAAAAAGAAAAAAAAAAGGGGAGAGAAUUGAUGUUUCUGUUUCUAGUGCCAGACAGUCUUGGUCCCAAACUGAGUAGCGCCCUGCGGAGCAGUUGUGCACGGGCGGGCGGGGAGUGCUGCUCCAGAGACUAAAUAAAGUCCCCCUUUUUCAUA